UACGUAGGUGGCAAGCGUUAUCCGGAAUUAUUGGGCGUAAAGCGCGCGCAGGCGGUUUCUUAAGUCUGAUGUGAAAGCCCACGGCUCAACCGUGGAGGGUCAUUGGAAACUGGGGAACUUGAGUGCAGAAGAGAAAAGCGGAAUUCCACGUGUAGCGGUGAAAUGCGUAGAGAUGUGGAGGAACACCAGUGGCGAAGGCGGCUUUUUGGUCUGUAACUGACGCUGAGGCGCGAAAGCGUGGGGAGCAAAC
rnacentral:rRNA from 2 species